GGUAGCGUGGCCGAGCGGUUUAAGGCGCUGGAUUUAGGCUCCAGUCUCUUCGGGGGCGUGGGUUCGAAUCCCACCGCUGCCA